rnacentral:rRNA from 1 species
GGGUUGUGAGGUUAAGCGACUAAGCGUACACGGUGGAUGCCCUGGCAGUCAGAGGCGAUGAAGGACGUGCUAAUCUGCGAUAAGCGUCGGUAAGGUGAUAUGAACCGUUAUAACCGGCGAUUUCCGAAUGGGGAAACCCAGUGUGUUUCGACACACUAUCAUUAACUGAAUCCAUAGGUUAAUGAGGCGAACCGGGGGAACUGAAACAUCUAAGUACCCCGAGGAAAAGAAAUCAACCGAGAUUCCCCCAGUAGCGGCGAGCGAACGGGGAGCAGCCCAGAGCCUGAAUCAGUGUGUGUGUUAGUGGAAGCGUCUGGAAAGGCGCGCGAUACAGGGUGACAGCCCCGUACACAAAAAUGCACAUGCUGUGAGCUCGAUGAGUAGGGCGGGACACGUGGUAUCCUGUCUGAAUAUGGGGGGACCAUCCUCCAAGGCUAAAUACUCCUGACUGACCGAUAGUGAACCAGUACCGUGAGGGAAAGGCGAAAAGAACCCCGGCGAGGGGAGUGAAAAAGAACCUGAAACCGUGUACGUACAAGCAGUGGGAGCACGCUUCGGCGUGUGACUGCGUACCUUUUGUAUAAUGGGUCAGCGACUUAUAUUCUGUAGCAAGGUUAACCGAAUAGGGGAGCCGAAGGGAAACCGAGUCUUAACUGGGCGUUAAGUUGCAGGGUAUAGACCCGAAACCCGGUGAUCUAGCCAUGGGCAGGUUGAAGGUUGGGUAACACUAACUGGAGGACCGAACCGACUAAUGUUGAAAAAUUAGCGGAUGACUUGUGGCUGGGGGUGAAAGGCCAAUCAAACCGGGAGAUAGCUGGUUCUCCCCGAAAGCUAUUUAGGUAGCGCCUCGUGAAUUCAUCUCCGGGGGUAGAGCACUGUUUCGGCAAGGGGGUCAUCCCGACUUACCAACCCGAUGCAAACUGCGAAUACCGGAGAAUGUUAUCACGGGAGACACACGGCGGGUGCUAACGUCCGUCGUGAAGAGGGAAACAACCCAGACCGCCAGCUAAGGUCCCAAAGUCAUGGUUAAGUGGGAAACGAUGUGGGAAGGCCCAGACAGCCAGGAUGUUGGCUUAGAAGCAGCCAUCAUUUAAAGAAAGCGUAAUAGCUCACUGGUCGAGUCGGCCUGCGCGGAAGAUGUAACGGGGCUAAACCAUGCACCGAAGCUGCGGCAGCGACGCUGAUGCGUUGUUGGGUAGGGGAGCGUUCUGUAAGCCUGCGAAGGUGUGCUGUGAGG